rnacentral:rRNA from 1 species
UAGGGAAUAUUGGACAAUGGGUGAGAGCCUGAUCCAGCCAUGCCGCGUGCAGGAAGAAGGCGUUCGGGUUGUAAAGCUCUUUUGUCAGGGAAGAAACACCGGCUCUAACACAGUCCGGGAAUGACGGUACCUGAAGAAUAAGCACCGGCUAACUACGUGCCAGCAGCCGCGGUAAUACGUAGGGUGCGAGCGUUAAUCGGAAUUACUGGGCGUAAAGCGUGCGCAGGCGGUUAUACAAGACAGGCGUGAAAUCCCCGGGCUUAACCUGGGAAUGGCGCCUGUGACUGUAUAGCUAGAGUGUGUCAGAGGGGGGUAGAAUUCCACGUGUAGCAGUGAAAUGCGUAGAUAUGUGGAGGAAUACCAAUGGCGAAGGCAGCCCCCUGGGAUAACACUGACGCUCAUGCACGAAAGCGUGGGGAGCAAACAGGAUUAGAUACCCCAGUAGUCCCUGAGCGGGCUGGCAAGGCGCAU